GAAUGCGAUCAUACCAACACUUAAAUACCGGAUCCCAUCAGAACUCCGAAGUUAAGUGUGCUUGGGCGAGUGAGAGUAGUACUAGGAUGGAUGACCUCUUAGGAAGUCCUCGUGUUGCAUCCC